rnacentral:rRNA from 1 species
CCUACGGGUGGCAGCAGUGGGGAAUAUUGGACAAUGGGGGGAACCCUGAUCCAGCGACGCCGCGUGAGUGAAGAAGUAUUUCGGUAUGUUAAGCUCUAUCAGCCGGGAAGAAAAUGACGGUACCUGACUCAGAAGCCCCGGCUAACUACGUGCCAGCAGCCGCGGUAAUACGUAGGGGGCCAGCGUUAUCCGGAUUUACUGGGUGUAAAGGGGGCGUAGACGGUGCAGCAAGUCUGAUGUGAAAGGUCGGGGCCCAACCCCCGGACUGCAGUGGAAACUGUUGAACUGGAGUACAGGAGAGGUAAGCGGAAUGCGUAGUGUAGCGGUGAAAUGCGUAGAUAUCAGGAAGAACACCAGUGGCGAAGGCAGCUUACUGG